rnacentral:rRNA from 1 species
UGAGUAACACGUGGGCAAUCUGCCCUGCACUUCGGGAUAAGCCUGGGAAACUGGGUCUAAUACCGGAUAGGACCUUUAGNCGCAUGNCUUUUGGUGGAAAGCUUUUGCGGUGUGGGAUGGGCCCGCGGCCUAUCAGCUUGUUGGUGGGGUGAUGGCCUACCAAGGCGACGACGGGUAGCCGGCCUGAGAGGGUGUCCGGCCACACUGGGACUGAGAUACGGCCCAGACUCCUACGGGAGGCAGCAGUGGGGAAUAUUGCACAAUGGGCGCAAGCCUGAUGCAGCGACGCCGCGUGGGGGAUGACGGCCUUCGGGUUGUAAACCUCUUUCACCAUCGACGAAGGUNCGGGUUUUCUCGGAUUGACGGUAGGUGGAGAAGAAGCACCGGCCAACUACGUGCCAGCAGCCGCGGUAAUACGUAGGGUGCGAGCGUUGUCCGGAAUUACUGGGCGUAAAGAGCUCGUAGGUGGUUUGUCGCGUUGUUCGUGAAAUCUCACGGCUUAACUGUGAGCGUGCGGGCGAUACGGGCAGACUAGAGUACUGCAGGGGAGACUGGAAUUCCUGGUGUAGCGGUGGAAUGCGCAGAUAUCAGGAGGAACACCGGUGGCGAAGGCGGGUCUCUGGGCAGUAACUGACGCUGAGGAGCGAAAGCGUGGGGAGCGAACAGGAUUAGAUACCCUGGUAGUCCACGCCGUAAACGGUGGGUACUAGGUGUGGGUUUCCUUCCUUGGGAUCCGUGCCGUAGCUAACGCAUUAAGUACCCCGCCUGGGGAGUACGGCCGCAAGGCUAAAACUCAAAGGAAUUGACGGGGGCCCGCACAA